UUUGUUGUUGUUGUUUUUGUUUUUGUUUUAACUUUUAUUUAAUGAAUAUAAAUUUCCAAAGUACAGCUUAUGGAUUACAAUGGCUUCCCCCCCAUAAUGUCCCAACCACCCGCAAUGAAGCGUUUACUUUGAAAAAAUUAGAGUGUUCGAAGCAGGCCCGAGCCGCCUGGAUACUGCAGGUAGGAAUAAUGGAAUAGGACCGCGGUUCUAUUUUGUUGGUUUUCGGAACUGAGGCCGUGAUUAAGAGGGACGGCCUGGGGCAUCCGUAUUGCGCCGCUAGAGGUGAAAUUCUUGGACCGGUGCAAGACGGACCAGAGCGAAAGCAUUUGCCAAGAAUGUUUUCAUUAAUCAAGAA
rnacentral:ncRNA from 1 species